rnacentral:rRNA from 1 species
CCUACGGGAGGCAGCAGUGGGGGAUAUUGCACAAUGGGGGAAACCCUGAUGCAGCGACGCCGCGUGGGCGAAGACGUAUUUCGGUAUGUAAAGCCCUAUCAGCAGGGAAGAAGAAAUGACGGUACCUGAGUAAGAAGCACCGGCUCAAUACGUGCCAGCAGCCGCGGUAAUACGUAUGGUGCAAGCUUUAUCCGGAUUUACUGGGGGUAAAGGGAGCGCAUGCGGCACGGCAAGGCUAAUGGGAAAGCCCGCGGCCCAACCGCGGGACUGCAAUGGGAACUAGCGGGCUGGAGUGCAGGAGAGGUAUGCGGAAUUCGUAGUGUAGCGGUGAAAUGCGUAGAUAUUAGGAGGAACACCAGUGGCGAAGGCGGCCUACUGGACGGUGACUGACGCUGAGGCUCGAAAGCGUGGGGAGCAAACAGGAUUAGAUACCCGUGUAGUC